rnacentral:rRNA from 1 species
GACAGAGGAUGCAAGCGUUAUCCGGAAUGAUUGGGCGUAAAGCGUCUGUAGGUGGCUUUUUAAGUCCGCCGUCAAAUCCCAGGGCUCAACCCUGGACAGGCGGUGGAAACUACCAAGCUGGAGUACGGUAGGGGCAGAGGGAAUUUCCGGUGGAGCGGUGAAAGUGACGUGAGAGGAUCGGAAAGAACACCAACGGCGAAAAGCACUCUGCUGGGCCGACACUGACACUGAGAGACGAAAGCUAGGGGAGCGAAUGGG